ACUGUAUGUAGUGUGUGUGUGUGUGUGUACCUGUGUAGUUGGCUGAGAUGCUGAAGGCUGUGGUUCGGUUGCUAUGGUAACUAUCCACGGCGACACGUAUCCAAGUAUGACUGUGACUGUCCUACUGACAGAGGUAGAGGGGAAAGAUCUGGAAAGAUCUGGAAAUGACUUCCCUCUGAGGAACGUUAAUGGGGGAAAUGAAUAGGGGUUUUGGGGUUAAACGCUGAAAAUAAGGUCAGAGGUUAACACAGGCUUAUGGAGACCUGAUACAUUUUGUUCUGAGACAUAAUAUCAGUCAGGUAACAUUACCUUUAUGGAUUAUGAAGCCUUAAUUAAAAUAAAUGCUUGAAAAUUCACAGAAAGUGACAUUUGCAGAUGACAAUCAUCUCACAGAACAAAACGUACGAGACCUUAUUUUUUUUGGUGUUUAUCCCAAAACUC